UAUCCACCUUACUUGUUAUUCUAAACAAAAUCACACGGCGUCUUCACGGGCGAUUGGAUCUGAGCUUGAGGCGGAGAUGGCGGAGGACGGAGGCAGAGGCCGCCGUCUCUGCCGGUCGACGACGGAGAAACGGCCGCAACCGAGGAGGACGGCCAUGGAGGGGAGAGUGCUGCCUCGAUCCGGAUGAGGGGAGUAGCAGCUGCGACCUCGAUGCGGAUGAGGAGAGCAGCAAUCGCGCCCGGCGGCCUCGGCUAGGAGCUUUGCCCUCUUAUUCCCGCGCGGUGCAGCGGCGACCUGAGGACGAGUUCGAGGCACAGUGGUCGUUCCAGCACACGAUGCCGGGGGAGGCGGCGGUGCUUCCUUGCCUCAUCUGUUCUCCUUAUCUGAGGUCCGUCCGACGGCAGAUGCACACCCGACGUCGUCAUGGAGGCUCCGACCCCGAGGCACCCUCCCUGCUUCCUUCUGGUUGCAUCUCCCCCUGAUUCUAUUUUAUCCAUGCCUACACGAUGCACAACAAAACUCCUAGCAGGCUUGCAAUCUCACGCGUAAGGGAAGAUGUGUUCCUCUCUGGCUAGCACCUGCUCGAUCAAAUGCCUAGCCAUUUCAAUCGUUUAUUGUAGGAAAUAUAAGGUGCACCCAAAUAGGAGGCCAUUCUGUGCAGCCUAUUCUUUUCAGUUCUAGGAAUCCUAUGGUAGAGGGUGGUGUUAGUUCUAUAAAUAACUUUCAGACAUCUGUAGUUUUUCAGGUUGUAGCGUGACAACUUUGAUCAAAAUUUGUUUCAGUUGACUCUACAUUCCAUUCGUUGAUUUUGUGUUCUUAACUGAAAUCAGAGUUUGUUGAUGUAAGUGACUUGGAUUAGUAUUCUUCUCUUUGCUAUGCUAAUAUUCACCUUGCUUCAGUUGACCCCACUUUCCGUUCAUUGAUUUUGUGUUCUUAACAGAAAGCAGAGUUUGUUGGUGUAAGUGACUUGGAUCAGUAUUCUUCUUUUUGCAUAUGCUAAUAUUCACCUUUAACAGCUGCUAAAGUAUCAUGGCAUUAUAUCAAACUCUGCUCUGCCCAAAUUUUCCAGGCCUGAAGAGAGGAAGUAGGCCGGCGGCAAGGAUCCAGUGACGAGCGCCUCCGUAGCGCAGAUACUUUGGAUCUAUGUGCUUUGGCCAAAUUGGUCGAGCCUGAGACUGAUUAGAAGGACAGAUGGGCCUGGAAGAUACACCAGAAACAGAAGAAAAAGUUCUCAAAAUUGCGAAAGAGCGAUAUAGAGGCCGGUGAUCAACUCUAAGCUCCACUUACAAGGCAUACAAAACAGAUGCAGCUAGAUUGGCUAAUCUGCCGGAAGAUUUACAACCGGAAGAGUGAAUGGAUGAUUGAGUACUUUGGCACUGAUUCAAAAUUUCAGGAACACAACCGAAAGAACACUGAUAACCGUAAGAAACAGAAGACAAAACACAGAAUUAGAUCAAAAUCUUACUCGCAACUAAGUUUUGAUAAGGUAUGAGUCUAAGUAAAUAUGUAUGCCUUGCUGCUAACUCUCACACACACGAAGAAUGGAACAUGGUCUAACACAGAAUCCCAGGAUGUUUAAGUGAGUAACUGACUUUUGGUUAUUCUAUAGUUAUUCAAUGAUGUGCAUUCGGCAUGCUUCUGCAUCAGCUGGGAUUAUUCAUGUGUUGGAUCGUGUUAUUCUUGUUUCAUCUUUUAUAGUGUAAAUAUUGAUGCGGCACCUAUAAUUGUUCUUUCCGUUUUGAGGACAAAACACAUAAUAGGUUGAAAACAAAGAAACUGAAACUCAUGGUCCACUUUCAAGUGAGCAUGUCAUUGGCCUUCAUAAUUAGCUAGCUGCUUCUUCUCUUUCACCAUGCGUUGCUGCUGCAUUGAGUCACAACUUAAAAAAAUGAAUAUGUGCUAGCUAGGGACAUGAACUUAACUGAAACUAUAGAUCGAGUCACAACUUAAAUCAAUAGCGGAAGCUUUUAGUACAUGUACUUGUGUAUACACUUUAGACAUUUACACUUGUAAAACUGUUCUGACCCCUCAGUUACAUGGUUGCUGACACAGUAUUACUCCUCCAGGUAGUUUGGCAACAAUUCGUUUUAACAAUGGGUCUGGAAUAAUUGUAUGGCAUAUGUUAUGUUGGACUCAUUAACUAGAACUAUAUUUUUUUGAUUUCUUGA